GGCUCGUUGGCUCAAUUGGUAGAGCACUGCACUGAUAUGGCAGAGGUUGUGGGUUCAAAUUCCAUAUGGACCU